rnacentral:rRNA from 1 species
CGUGUAGGCGGCUUGAUAAGUCGGGUGUGAAAUCUCCAGGCUCAACCUGGAGGAGCCAUCCGAUACUGUCAGGCUUGAGUGCGGGAGAGGAAGAUGGAAUUCCUGGUGUAGCGGUGGAAUGCGUAGAUAUCAGGAAGAACACCGGUAGCGUAGGCGGUCUUCUGGCCCGACACUGACGCUGAGGCGCGAAAGCGUGGGGGAGCAAACG